rnacentral:rRNA from 1 species
CCGCAUAACGUCGCAAGACCAAAGAGGGGGACCUUCGGGCCUCUUGCCAUCGGAUGUGCCCAGAUGGGAUUAGCUUGUUGGUGGGGUAACGGCUCACCAAGGCGACGAUCCCUAGCUGGUCUGAGAGGAUGACCAGCCACACUGGAACUGAGACACGGUCCAGACUCCUACGGGAGGCAGCAGUGGGGAAUAUUGCACAAUGGGCGCAAGCCUGAUGCAGCCAUGCCGCGUGUAUGAAGAAGGCCUUCGGGUUGUAAAGUACUUUCAGCGGGGAGGAAGGGAGUAAAGUUAAUACCUUUGCUCAUUGACGUUACCCGCAGAAGAAGCACCGGCUAACUCCGUGCCAGCAGCCGCGGUAAUACGGAGGGUGCAAGCGUUAAUCGGAAUUACUGGGCGUAAAGCGCACGCAGGCGGUUUGUUAAGUCAGAUGUGAAAUCCCCGGGCUCAACCUGGGAACUGCAUCUGAUACUGGCAAG